CGGAUGAGAGGUUAUGUGAAAGUAAAUAAACAAGUUAGAAUUAGACAAACGAUAGAUCAAGAAAAAAAUGUUGACUCGAGAAUACGUUGUGCUCUUAAGUCAGAUGCAGACAAAGAAGGACGAAAAAAUUUAAUAUCUACAAUGAGACACCCGAGAACUCAUCGAGACGAACACAGAAGGCACGAAGGCGCUAAAAUUAACCUGGAGAAGUUGCCCACAUACUCCAAGAGGACGGUACAAAGCGCUCCAGGACUAUCCACUCCUUGUACCCCUCUCAUAGCAACACUACUAAUAAACGCGAGGGACUGAGAGGGAACACGCCUUCAUCCAACUCCUUUCAAAGUUGGUGCCAACAAUACUGUAAGUUACUUCAAAAUAUCGCAGCUAACGUAAACAUUGCAUCUUAUGGAUUACGAACCCAGAAACGAUAAAACGGAAACGGUAAAUCUGCUCCGAAACUUCUGACAAAGAUACAAGUGGUACCAGAUGUUGUAUUCAACGAUACCCAAACAAUUAGUGAGGCUCCUAAACGCCCCUCACUCCCACAAAAUUAAGUUGGUACUGGUGUUAACCCAACAAAUGUUGAUACUCUAGCGUUUCAUGGGGUGCCGGUGAAUUGCGCUCACUUCAAGGACGGCAUUUUAAUCCCUACAGUGGAUUGCGCUCAGAAAAUUUUUAAUUACCUGCGUUGCGUUCUAAUCUCUAUGUGAACUGCGCUUAGGCUAAUGAAAAUGAGGAUGAACCAGUUGCAAAAAUGUACUUUGCACUUUGAAAUAAACAAAAACAAAAUAGGUUAUUAUUUACAUUUACUGAACACAAAUAUGUAUAGGUGUACAUUACAUAACAGUGUUUUAAAAAUUUGAUCAAACUUAUAAAAUAGACAUUUCACAAAAGUGGAUCGAUCGAUCUAUUUGCUUCUCUUUCAAUAUUUUAUUUUUAAAUUAAAACAUACCUUUUAAUACAGGGUAUUUCAGAACUCGUAUCCCAGAGAAUAAUGUCAAGUGCCGGCCGCAAUAGGUCAUUAAAAAGUCCACCCGAAGAAGUGCUCCCUAAAAGUUUGAAGCACCAACCCAUGGGUGGGUGCCCCGUUGUGAUGCUACUGAGCGCAGUUUACCUUAAGAAUUAGCGACCCUUAGUAGCCUCAUUAUACCUGUUUCUAAAACUGAGCGCAAUACACUCUGCCCCG